rnacentral:tRNA from 1 species
GCCUUGGUAGCCUAGUGGUCAGGUGCCACCUCUGUAUUCCCGACCUGCAAGCUUAUAGUGGUGGCAACCCAGGUUCGAAUCCUGGUCAAGGCA